rfam:Myotis davidii contig125147, whole genome shotgun sequence.
GGUGGUUCUCGGGUGACACGCCCCAGAAUCAGGGUCCCUCCUCUCUGGUUCUGGGUGUGUCACCCAAGAACCAUC